rnacentral:rRNA from 1 species
AGCGAACGCUGGCGGCAGGCCUAACACAUGCAAGUCGAACGAACUCUUCGGAGUUAGUGGCGGACGGGUGAGUAACACGUGGGAACGUGCCUUUAGGUUCGGAAUAACUCAGGGAAACUUGUGCUAAUACCGAAUGUGCCCUUCGGGGGAAAGAUUUAUCGCCUUUAGAGCGGCCCGCGUCUGAUUAGCUAGUUGGUGAGGUAAAGGCUCACCAAGGCGACGAUCAGUAGCUGGUCUGAGAGGAUGAUCAGCCACAUUGGGACUGAGACACGGCCCAAACUCCUACGGGAGGCAGCAGUGGGGAAUCUUGCACAAUGGGCGAAAGCCUGACGCAGCCAUGCCGCGUGAAUGAUGAAGGUCUUAGGAUUGUAAAAUUCUUUCACCGGGGACGAUAAUGACGGUACCCGGAGAGGAAGCCCCGGCUAACUUCGUGCCAGCCGCCGCGGUAA